rnacentral:rRNA from 1 species
AUGCAGUCGACGCGAAAGUUCCCUUCGGGGGAUGAGUAGAGUGGCGUCCGGGUGAGUAACACGUAGGUAAUCUACCUUUGGGUGGGGAAUAACGCAGGGAAACUUGCGCUAAUACCGCAUAAUGCAGCGGCACCACAUGGUGACAGUUGUUAAAGCGGGGGAUUUUCGAACCUCGCGCCUAAAGAGGAGCCUGCGGCAGAUUAGCUAGUUGGUAAGGUAACGGCUUACCAAGGCAACGAUCUGUAGCCGGCCUGAGAGGGCGGUCGGCCACACUGACAUUGACAUACGGGUCAGACUCCUACGGGAGGCAGCAGUCGGGAAUUUUGGGCAAUGGGCGAAAGCCUGACCCAGCAACGCCGCGUGAAGGAUGAAAUCCUUCGGGAUGUAAACUUCGCAAGAAUGGGAAGAAUUAGUAGGGGUUAAUACCCCCUAUGAUGACGGUACCAUUUGUAAGCUCCGGCUAACUCCGUGCCAGCAGCCGCGGUAAUACGGGGAGAGCAAGCGUUGUUCGGAUUUACUGGGCAUAAAGGGCGCGUAGGCGGUCAGCACAAGUCAGUUGUGAAAUCUCCGGGCUUAACUCGGAAAGGUCAACUGAUACUGUGCGACUAGAGUGCGGAAGGGGCAACUGGAAUUCUCGGUGUAGCGGUGAAAUGCGUAGAUAUCGAGAGGAACACCUGCGGCGAAGGCGGGUUGCUGGGCCGACACUGACGCUGAUGCGCGAAAGCCAGGGGAGCGAACGGGAUUAGAUACCCCGGUAGUCCUGGCCUUAAACGAUGGAUGCUUGGUGUCUGGAGUUUUAUAGUCUCCGGGUGCCGUAGCUAACGCGUUAAGCAUCCCGCCUGGGGAGUAC